rnacentral:rRNA from 1 species
UACGUAGGGUGCAAGCGUUAAUCGGAAUUACUGGGCGUAAAGCGUGCGCAGGCGGUUUUGUAAGUCUGUCGUGAAAUCCCCGGGCUCAACCUGGGAAUUGCGAUGGAGACUGCAAGGCUAGAAUCUGGCAGAGGGGGGUAGAAUUCCACGUGUAGCAGUGAAAUGCGUAGAGAUGCGGAGGAACACCGAUGGCGAAGGCAGCCCCCUGGGUCAAGAUUGACGCUCAUGCACGAAAGCGUGGGGAGCAAACAGG